rnacentral:rRNA from 1 species
GACGAACGCUGGCGGCGUGCUUAACACAUGCAAGUCGAACGGAAAGGCCCUGCUUUUGUGGGGUGCUCGAGUGGCGAACGGGUGAGUAACACGUGAGUAACCUGCCCUUGACUUUGGGAUAACUUCAGGAAACUGGGGCUAAUACCGGAUAGGAGCUCCUGCUGCAUGGUGGGGGUUGGAAAGUUUCGGCGGUUGGGGAUGGACUCGCGGCUUAUCAGCUUGUUGGCGGGGUAGUGGCUUACCAAGGCUUUGACGGGUAGCCGGCAUGAGAGGGUGACCGGCGACAUUGGGACUGAGAGACGGACCAGACUGCUACGGGAGGCAGAAGUGGGGAAUAUUGCGCAAUGGGCGGAAGCCUGAUGCAGCAACGCCGCGUGCGUGAUGACGUGCUUCGGGGGGUAAACCGCUGUCGCCGGUGACGAAGCGUGAGUGACGGUAAUGGGUAAAGAAGCACCGGCUAACUACGUG